rnacentral:rRNA from 1 species
UGAUCCUGGCUCAGAUUGAACGCUGGCGGCAUGCCUUACACAUGCAAGUCGAACGGUAACAGGUCUUCGGAUGCUGACGAGUGGCGAACGGGUGAGUAAUACAUCGGAACGUGCCCGAUCGUGGGGGAUAACGAGGCGAAAGCUUUGCUAAUACCGCAUACGAUCUACGGAUGAAAGCGGGGGAUCUUCGGACCUCGCGCGGACGGAGCGGCCGAUGGCAGAUUAGGUAGUUGGUGGGAUAAAAGCUUACCAAGCCGACGAUCUGUAGCUGGUCUGAGAGGAUGAUCAGCCACACUGGGACUGAGACACGGCCCAGACUCCUACGGGAGGCAGCAGUGGGGAAUUUUGGACAAUGGGCGAAAGCCUGAUCCAGCCAUGCCGCGUGCAGGAUGAAGGCCUUCGGGUUGUAAACUGCUUUUGUACGGAAC